rnacentral:misc_RNA from 1 species
AGUUCAACAAAUGAGCGCUUUAUCGAAGCCGUUGCCGCAGGCAAGGAAAACCCGCGCAGCAGUCUUGACGUGUAUCGCGCUGCAGGGGGUCAACUGCUCGAAAAGAAAGCGUAUCCCUUCCGCAUCAAGGAAGGACAGCCCCAGCGCCCCUUUGGCUUGGCUGAGCCUGAAGAACUGCUCGACAAUAUCACGAUUGCCAGCACUUUGCUGAAUGAAGCUGCCAACAGCCGCGCAACAGGGCGCGAUAUGUGGACAGCGAACAGCAUUGCCGAAGAAGUUGCCAGCCAAACCAAAGCCCUGAUUGGCGAUAACGGCGAAUUGCUUAAGCAGAUGGGGCGCGAUUGGCAGCGCCUGGCCGAUUUGAUUGU